rnacentral:rRNA from 1 species
CCUACGGGAGGCAGCAGUGGGGAAUCUUGCACAAUGGAGGAAACUCUGAUGCAGCGAUGCCGCGUGAGUGAAGAAGGCCCUUGGGUUGUAAAGCUCUUUCGUCGGGGAAGAAGAUGACUGUACCCGAAUAAGAAGGUCCGGCUAACUUCGUGCCAGCAGCCGCGGUAAU